CCGUACGUUGCUGAUCUACGAUUACUAGCAACUCCGACUUCAUGGGGUCGAGUUGCAGACCCCAAUCCGAACUGAGACUGGCUUUAUCGGAUUCGCUCCACCUUGCGGUAUCGCAGCCGUUUGUACCAGCCAUUGUAGCAUGCGUGCAGCCCAAGACAUAAGGGGCAUGAUGAUUUGACGUCAUCCCCACCUUCCUCCGAGUUAACCCCGGCAGUCUCCUGUGAGUCCCCAACUAAAUGCUGGCAACACAGAACGAGGGUUGCGCUCGUUGCGGGACUUAACCCAACAUCUCACGACACGAGCUGACGACAACCAUGCACCACCUGUAUACAGACCUUGCGGCUAUGACAUCUCUGCCAUAUUCCUGUAUAUGUCAAGCCUUG
rnacentral:rRNA from 1 species